rnacentral:rRNA from 1 species
AGUGAACGCUGGCGGUAGGCCUAACACAUGCAAGUCGAACGGCAGCACAGUAAGAGCUUGCUCUUACGGGUGGCGAGUGGCGGACUGGUGAGGAAUACAUCGGAAUCUACUUUUUCGUGGGGGAUAACGUAGGGAAACUUACGCUAAUACCGCAUACGACCUACGGGUGAAAGCAGGGGAUCUUCGGACCUUGCGCGAUUGAAUGAGCCGAUGUCGGAUUAGCUAGUUGGCGGGGUAAAGGCCCACCAAGGCGACGAUCCGUAGCUGGUCUGAGAGGAUGAUCAGACACACUGGAACAGAGACACGGUCCAGACUCCUACGGGAGGCAGCAGUGGGGAAUAUUGGACAAUGGGCGCAAGCCUGAUCCAGCCAUACCGCGUGGGUGAAGAAGGACUUCGGGUUGUAAAGCCCUUUUGUUGGGAAAGAAAAGCAGCAGGUUAAUACCCCGCUGUUCUGACGGUACCCAAAGAAUAAGCACCGGCUAACUUCGUG